rnacentral:rRNA from 1 species
UACAGAGGUCCCAAGCGUUGUUCGGAAUCACUGGGCGUAAAGGGUGCGUAGGCGGCGCGGAAAGUCAGGGGUGAAAUCCCGAGGCUCAACCUCGGAACUGCCUUUGAUACUGGCGAUCUUUGAGUCCGGGAGAGGUGAGUGGAACUCCGAGUGUAGAGGUGAAAUUCGUAGAUAUUCGGAAGAACACCAGUGGCGAAGGCGGCUCACUGGCCCGGUACUGACGCUCAUGUGCGAAAGCGUGGGGAGCAAACAGG